rnacentral:rRNA from 1 species
UACAGAGGGGGCAAGCGUUAUUCGGAAUUAUUGGGCGUAAAGGGCGCGUAGGCGGCCUGGCAAGUGGAAGGUGAAAUCCCUCGGCUUAACCGAGGAACUGCCUCUCAAACUGCUUGGCUUGAGACCGGGAGAGGUGAGUGGAAUUCCCAGUGUAGCGGUGAAAUGCGUAGAUAUUGGGAGGAACACCAGUGGCGAAGGCGGCUCACUGGACCGGUACUGACGCUGAGGCGCGAAAGCCAGGGGAGCAAACAGG